AGCACCCGCAUCAGCUACCGCACCCGCACCAGCAACCGCUCUCGCAGCCGCACGGCCACCGGCUUCUCCGCAGCACCUCCAACUCCGCCUGAAGGGGGCAGCACCCGGGCAAGACGAGGUUUUGAGGACUCGAGGAAGUGGGACGAGAGCGCCUUUCUGUUGUCUUCAUUUGGAUGGAAAACAAGUCUCCCUGCUCUGCACCAGACCAAGUAGUUUGGGCAUCAGCCGACCGAUAACUUGCAAUUCCUCUUAGUUUUCUGCAUCCUUUUCCUCAUCACAAUGCAGGAAACGAUUUCAAGGCGAGAAGGCUUUAUUUAUGAACCUUUGAAAGGAUCUCCCAGUAUGGUGGACCUUCUAGGAGCGAAGAUGUACUGUAAUUUUAUUUUAAUGUAUUUUGAUUUAUGAUUAUUUAUUAGUUUUUUUUAAAAAAAUAUUUGUUCUAAGACAUUUCUGAAUGUAGGCCGUUUUCCAGAAAAGGAACUUUAUUUUCAAAAAUCUAUUUCCUAGUAAGUUCUAAUCUUGGAAAGGAAAAAAAGGAGGUGUAGGGGAAAACAUUAAGACUUCAUUCAUUCAUUAUUCCUAGGUCAAUUUCAGAACCCGGACACACGCAUUGUUAUGCCAGGUGGUUGAAAUUAAACUCUGUGAUAUAACUUUCUUUUUGGAGAUUAUUUUUUUCCCUUUAGACUCUGUGUUGUGUAGAAUAGAAGUUUAAAGAAGCUAAGUGCUCAGAAUUGUGUAAUUGUGAAAAUCUGUUUUUCUAAAAGGAAAUGAGUAGUAAUGACACCUAAUUCGCAAUAUUUAAAACAUAACCCACCUGAUGGCAGGAUGAUCUUGAAUGUGUGGUAGGGCUAUGUCUACAGUAGAAAAAACCUUGCUUAUGCCAUCUGUGAAGGGUUUAAUAAGGAGAUAUUUAUGGUUUAUGAGUAUAAAUGCAUUAGGUGUUUCAUUUCAAAAAACAUAGAGGGCGGGAGGGAAUCAUUCAGCUUGUCUGAGAGAACAUUUCUGUGUUCUGUCCACACUAGAGAUUACCCUUCGCCAAGGGCUUUGCACCCUUUACUGGAACCACAUUUCCUUACUUUAUUCUAGAAACAUAUCCUAGAAUCUUAGAGUUUAAAAAUAGAGUUUGUAACUAUUUCAAAGGUCUAAGAGUCAUAACUCUUUGUUUUCUUACUGAAAAUAAUGUUAAUCAGAGAAACCAAUUGUUUUGCUUUUUAUUGCUCUGUGAGAAAUUGGAGGGUUAUAUGUUUUGUUGUUAGGUUAACUAAACUCAGAAAUUGACAAAGGAAGGACUGGAUAAACACCGGGUUUUCAGUAGGAAAACAACCCCAGUCUUGUUUUAGCAGCCACUUGUUCCUGAGGGGUUGGGGUGGGGGGGUGCUUUUAUAGGUGGAACAAACCCUCUUCUGUGUUAAAUCAAAAGGAUGGUCAGAAUCCGCAAGGGCAGAUGCUCCUUCAGUUUAAAACGAGCCAUAGAUGAUACGAAAUCCUCUUGGGGCUGAAAAUCACUUCCUAUCUGCAUGGCUUUACUAACGGGCCUCUGUUUUCCAUUAUCUUUUGCAAAGCCUUGAUCAGUAUUUUUCCAGCAUCCAAAUUGGAAGGUGGAUAUUAGGCCGAUGCUAAAUUAUGUAGUCAAGAAAUGAAAGCAGAAUUUUAUGCUAGAGAUACCUUUAUUCUCCUUCCAUCUGGAAAGGAGUUUCACGGUCAAAUUACUUGUUAGUGCAAUAUUUAAAUGAUGGAAUUUUGAGGCCAUAACUCUAAUCCAAAAAGUUGCAGGGGUAAUCUAAAACUUGAGCAAAUGGCAAAUAGAACUUAAGGGGACUCCCACCCCACUUCCAGAGGCUGUUUAAGUUGUGGCUGUGAACAUUUGCUGCAAAGAUUUAAAAAAUCAUACACACACACACACACACACACACACACACACAUACACACAUACACACAUACAUAUGAUGGGCAGCUCAGAGAGUCAAAUCUAAAGAGUUCUUAAGCCAAGUUUGGUUUAGCUUUGGCACCCCUGUUGUAAUUUUAAGAUAAUGCCUCAUUGUACCAGUGUUUUAAUAUAUGUAGAUCAUAUAACCCCUAUGAAACCACAGCUUUUUUCUUUUUUUUUUCAGAUAGAAGGAUUUUUCUUCCAAUUCUUGUGUUAUAAAAAAAGAUAAUAUUUAUACUAAGUAGUUUUAAAAUUAAGAUUCAUUAAGCUUAAAUAUAGGCUAAGUAUUGGCUGGUGGAAUUUUUCUACCACCAUGUCUGUGGUUCCUAAUGGGCCAUCAAGAUCAUGGUUCCUUGUCCUGUCUUUCCACAGCCCUUAGUCCUUGGUCUGCUGUGAUAUUUAUGUUGAGUUGACCCUCUUAGUGCCUCUCUAGUUUGAAGGUCUCUUAAUAUUUAACUGUGAAAACUCAGAAAUGAGAAAGGAGAGAAGUAGGAUGGUUUUUGUGUUUUGACACUUUGAAAUUAUUAUGGUUGAAUAAUUUUCCAGAACAAAGAAACAACUAUGCUUAACAAAGCGCAACAAAACAAACAAAAUACAAAUGCAAAGCAUUUUGCGAGUCAGUGGUUCUAUUCUACCUGUAAAAAAGUGAUAUUAAACACUUAAGGUAUUACAAGGCCUAACCAAUUACCUUUAUGGAAAAAGAUAAAAGUAUUUCUUUAAACCCAAGAAAAAGAAGAAGGAAAGGGCAGGUCCAACAGAAAACUCACCCUUUAAAUAAACAUAAAAUGUAAAAAGUUGGGAAAUUUAAAGGAUUUUCCAUCUGGAAACUGAAAUUUUGUCUUGAAACUUCUGCUGGCGCCAAGCUUCGUACACAGCUCAGUAACUAUUUGUUGGGAAUAAUGAAUGAAAGGAGGAAAAAAUGUGUAACAUCCCAGCACCCAGGAGGUGGUUUCUCUUUCUCUUGCCUCACAUUGAGCUUCCUUUACGCUCAUUUCAUUCCCUGAGAAAAGCUAAUCCUGGACAAGCUGCUCCACAUGAGGAAGCUCCUUAGGCAUACUUUCUUAGUGGAAAUCAGAUCUGCUUAUGCCCUACAGGGAAUGCUGAGGUCAGAGUAAAUGCCUAUAAAGAGCUCUUUCAAAAUGAACAUUUCCCUCAUAGAGGAAGCUGGAAUUUUCUCAUAUGGAAAUCGAACCAACUUUAUUUCACUUAACAUUUUUUCAAGUGGAGGUAGAAAAACCCAACUCCUUGCUUCAAAGAAUUCCCCUCAUAUGUAAACACUGUUAAGAAGUCUGGCUUAAGUUCAAAGGCAUUUUUUUGGUGUGUGUGUGUGUGUGUGUGUGUGUUUUAAACUCUGUCCUCAUAUACCCAUUUCUCUUAAAGAUUCCUCAUUUUAAAUCUGACACUACAAGUUUGUUGCUAGUGUGGAAGUUCAAACACAUCACUUGUUUUCGGCCCCCAGGGAGAGUGACUUGGUUUUAGCUUGUCUCCAAGUGUUUAUAAUAUCAUGUUCAAUGGCAGGUUUAGAAGAGGGGUGAAAACUAGAUCAAUCCCAUAAAAUAUAGAGCUUUGUAGGAUGAGGACGGGCUUGUGAACAUUCAUUCUUCUCUUUGUUUUUUGUUUGUUUUUUUGUUGGUAAAUGUAAACAAACUUCCUUUUGCUUUACCAGUAAAAUGCCUUCAGCUGACUAAAAUUUAAAUUUGGAAGUUACAGAGCUUGAUAUUGAAUACAUCUGUGAUUCUUAUAAAAGAAAUAUGCCAAUUUACCCAAAACAAUCUGAGAUGUAUUAAUUAUGAAAUUGUGUUGGGUGGGUUUUUAAUAACUACUUUCUAAAGUUUGGACACAAUUUGAAGGGUGACUUUUUGGUCUGUAUGUUGUACAGCCAAUCUAGAAUUACAUCCCAUUAGAUGACAAAGUGAUCUGCAACUUCAUUGGCAGGACAUCUGCUAAAUGGAGUGUAGGAUCCAACAGGGUUUUCUUAGGGCAUUAUUGUCCAGUGAAGGAAGCAGAGAACUCUGGGUCAUUAGCAGCAUCUUCAUAAAAGCUGGAGAGGCCUACUCCCUAUCGCUCUGAAGCUGGCCUAGUGGGAUAGUGAGGAAUUGGUUUUUAAUAAUAGGUGGUCCGUCCAGAUCACUGUAAUAAUUUUGAGAAGGGAGAUAAAAUGAUUGUCUGUUACAUUCCACUGUCGGCUUUCUGCUUAGUUUCAGAAUAUGCAAGUACCGGCUUCUGAAAAACAAGUAUCACAAUGUACCAAGUGCUUUACUAUCACAUUCCUGAACUUAAGUAUGCUCAUAAUUUGUGUAAAUAUGUCUCUUAAAUGAUUUGGGGAGAUGUGAUUUAUUUUUCAUAUUUUAAAAAUGCAUUCCAUUUUAAAUAAAGUAUCGAAUGAGAUGA